rfam:Schistosoma margrebowiei strain Zambia genome assembly, scaffold: SMRZ_scaffold0000258
UUCCAGCUGACGAGUCCCAAACAGGACGAAACGCGCGUCCUGGAU